rnacentral:rRNA from 1 species
UACGGAGGGUGCAAGCGUUAUCCGGAUUUACUGGGUUUAAAGGGUGUGUAGGCGGACUUUUAAGUCAGCGGUGAAAUCUCCGGGCUCAACCCGGAAACUGCCAUUGAUACUAUUAGUCUUGAAUCUUGUUGAGGUAGGCGGAACGGGUCAUGUAGCGGUGAAAUGCAUAGAUAUGACCCGGAACACCGAUUGCGAAGGCAGCCUACUAAGCAAGUA